AGCGAACGCUGGCGGCAGGCCUAACACAUGCAAGUCGAACGAACACUUCGGGAUUUGUGUCGGGCGGGGGUGGCACCCGUGGGGACAGUCACUCUUGGUUAGCCUAACUCACAGAAACGUGUGCUAUUACCGAAUGUGCGCUUCUAGGGGAAGAUUUAUUGCCCCUAGAGCGGCCCGCGUCGGAUUCGCUAGUUGGUGGGGUAAAGGCUCCCCACGGCGACGAUCAGUAGCUGGGCUGAGAGGAUGAUCAGCCACACUGGGACUCAGACACGGCCCAGACUCCUACGGGAGGCAGCAGUGGGGAAUAUUGCACAAUGGGCGAAAGCCUGAAGCAGCCAUGCCGCGUGAAUGAUGAAGGUCUUAGGGUUGUAAAGUUCUUUUAACUGGGACGAUAAUGACGGUACCUGAAGAAGAAGCCCCGGCUAACUUCGUG
rnacentral:rRNA from 1 species